GCCCCGGUAGUGUAGCGGCCUAUCAUCUCGGCCUGUCGAGCCGAGGACACGGAUUCAAAUUCCGUCCGGGGCGCCA
rnacentral:tRNA from 1 species